GUCUAACUCAAACUUUCUCUGACAUAGGGUUUAGCACUUAUAAUAAAGCUCAUACCCAUAUGUUGUCUGCUGCCUUUGUCGCUGGGUUAAAGGAACCCAUCCGUAAGGGUUUGAUUCUCUCCCGACCUGAGUACCGAAUAAUUCCUUUAGACACACUUUUACUGGUGGCCAAGGGGUUAGAGUCAGUGAUACAGCCCCUUCAGAGGAAUGCAAACCCAAUGAUGCUUAAUGCCCCUGCUGUUGUUACAGGGUCAGCACAGACC